UGGAAAGUUCUCUGGAAGAUGGGGACAUUCCCAACUUUAGAGUACUGGCAGAACAUCCUAUUUCUGCAGACUCUUCCGAAAGAAAUGCUUUGUAAGACUGUGUGCAUUUCCUUGGGACACUCAUCUGGGAAAAAUUAGGAUAAUUUCUUUAAUCAGGCAUUGUGGCUGAGGCAGGGAGAAUCGGGGAGCCACAUGACCUCUCUCUCAUGUCCUUUGUGGCUGUGUAGGAUGGGGGGAAUCCAUCCUCUACUAAUGUGGCACUGCAGGCUUAGACAGCCCAAUGAACCAUUCUGUUUGCCCUCAGGCUCCUCCAACUUGAAAUCAAGCAACAGAGCCACUUUCCUGCAUGGAAGCUGCUCAGCAGGAGAAACAGGGAAGAGAUAGCAGCUGCUUAGAGCUCUCCCCUUUUGCAUCCAAGCUGCUUGCUGGCCCUGAGGUGCAGGGAGGGGGAAAGGGUGAUGGGAGGCAGCUGGGGAAUGUGAUGCCCUCUGUAUCCUUCCUGUAGUGACAAGCCUUAUUCAAACACUUCAGUUUGAAAAGCUCAGAGUGCAGCUCCAGGAGAAUGCUUUCAAUUCAUAAUCAAAUAUGGGGCAAUAGCAGAUGGAUAAAACAAACAAAUGUGGGGGAGGAUGAGGUACAUUCUCAAACACUCUGGAGUGUGUUCUGGGAAGAAGACACCCACUUUCUACAUGUUAUUUCUCAUUCAAGGAAAUCUAUGGGCCACAUGAUUAAGAUCAGAGUCAAGAAUACAACUGUGCAGAUCUCAACCACUGGGACCAUUGCUGUGCACUGAGAUAACCAAAAAAGAGCUUGAAGAACUCUGGACUGAAAUCAGGGGAUUUAGAAGAAAAGAGUGGAUGCCCUUAAACACUUUUCCCCUGAACAACUCCAAAUGUGGUGAUUGCUGUUUGACCUGACUGGCACUGUCUGAAUGGGAAGGGGUGGCAAUGAUGUUUGGAGCUGUUGAUAAGGAUUUUGAUUGAAAUACUGCAUGCCUCAAAGAAUCAAGGAAUGGAAGGUGAGUAGCUUUUGGAUUCAGUCCUCAUCCCUUCUUGAAUGGUUAAAAGGAAGAGAGUGCCAUGUAAUCAGAACUGAAAUUUCAUUAAAGGCAUGGAACAGAUUGUGUGGUUCUCAUUUACACCUGCACAAAUUUGGAUUUGGUCCAUGAAGUCCAACUACACACUGGUGGAACUGAGCCUGGUAUCUUAUGCGUGGUCUCUGAGUCUGGCAGCAGUGGUGGGUGAGCUGCUGUCAGGAAAUGGGGCAUGUGUUUCUGUCCUCAGAUCUGUGUGCUAAGUGCUAGGCCUGGCCUGACAGAUGUUAAAAGUGCCUCUGAGUAAGCAGGGG
rnacentral:lncRNA from 1 species